AGCGCCGCAAGCGCAGGCUCGGGCUCAGGCUCAGACACCGGCUCCGGCCCCCGGCCUGGCUCGGCGGCCCGGCCGGGUCCCCUCCGCGCGGGAUGGGCACCGACCCUCAGCAUCAGCUGAUACGGCAGAAAUUGCUGACAUCUUAGCAGCCAGGAGGGAAGUGUCCUGGGAGAGACAGACACUUGUUCCAGCAGUGAAAUGGGAUGCUCCAGGCUCAGGUACACACAAGGGUGUUUAGAAAUGCGGAUCUCCAGGGCUCGUGUGCCCAUUUCACAGUGCAGACACGCAGCUCACCCGCAGGGAAGACAGAGAAAGCUCUGACCCCAACAGAAACUGAUAUCAUAUAUAUAUAUAAACACACACACACAGGGCAGAGGAAUAUGUGGUUUUUCAUACACACACAUAUACAUAUUUUCCUCAUUAGUGGGAUAGAGUAACGCUGAGCUGGGCAAAAGAAAGGUUCGAAUUUGCCUGGUAAUAUUGCCACAACUUGAAAGAGGAUGAUUUUCCUCCUAAAGCCUCCUUUGCUCCCCAGCUUCAGAAGCAAACUCUGCAAGGGUUAUGAGUGUGGCAAAAAGAGAGAAAUGGAGAUUUCCUGCAAUCCCAAGGCGUCAACGGCGGGUCCUUCUCAAAGGAAGGUGUUAAAAAUAUAAGUAGUAUGUUUAAACUGUCAAGGAGCCAAAGUGUCACCUUAGAGCAAAAACAAAGCCAGGGGAAAAGGGAGAAAUCAAAAAGCACUCCGGGCCAGGGUGGCCUCAUGCAUACCAAUGGUUUUUGUCAUUUAUGGCUGGGCAAGAUUUAUGACUCGGCGCCCCAAAGCUGUAAACAGAGCACAAAACAGCAAACACUUGCUCCUUAUGGCAUAUUGCAGAGCAACUUGAAAGGGGGAGCCGGCCGCGUAGGAGGUGAGAGCCAGCCGCAAAAAUCCGUUCGGCGGCAUUUUCUCUUCAAACCCGCCCGGUCGGAUGUGGCAUUUGAAGAAAGAAGGCGUGGGUCAAUAAUCAACCCGCACUUUCUCCUCCAAACUGCUGACGCGACUCUCACCGCCUUCUCAGCUAAGCCAGCUGCCGGGAAGGCCAGCUCUCCGUGAGAACCUGCCGGGAGAAGGGAUUCUCUGGGCCAUAGUGACCGAGGGCGCCCGAGCUAGGGCUGGGUCGCCCGGAAUGCAUACCUUUCCACUGGCGCCAAGACCCUGCCGGGCAAAACGCGGGGACCGGACCUGAGGAGCCGCGGGAGCCCAGGGAGAUCUGGGGCUGGAGCUUCGUUCCGGCCAGGGCCUCUAUCCGCCCCGAUACGUGGCUCGCGGGCCGCGGGCCUCAGCGGGCAGAAGUGGGGCUCCGACCUCAAGACGAAGGUCCGGCGUCCUGGCACGCAGAUGUUCGGUGCCCCAGCCUCAAGCCGCUCUGCUGAAAUCCAAAGGACUGGCUU